CUACGGGUUGCACCAGUGGGGAAUAUUGCACAAUGGGCGCAAGCCUGAUGCAGCCAUGCCGCGUGUAUGAAGAAGGCCUUCGGGUUGUAAAGUACUUUCAGCGGGGAGGAAGGGAGUAAAGUUAAUACCUUUGCUCAUUGACGUUACCCGCAGAAGAAGCACCGGCUAACUCCGUGCCAGCAGCCGCGGUAAUACGGAGGGUGCAAGCGUUAAUCGGAAUUACUGGGCGUAAAGCGCACGCAGGCGGUUUGUUAAGUCAGAUGUGAAAUCCCCGGGCUCAACCUGGGAACUGCAUCUGAUACUGGCAAGCUUGAGUCUCGUAGAGGGGGGUAGAAUUCCAGGUGUAGCGGUGAAAUGCGUAGAGAUCUGGAGGAAUACCGGUGGCGAAGGCGGCCCCCUGGACGAAGACUGACGCUCAGGUGCGAAAGCGUGGGGAGCAAACAGGAUUAGAUACCCUAGUAGUC
rnacentral:rRNA from 1 species